GGGGCUGGGGCCGAGGCUCGGUCACGGGGAGGGUUUCUGUGAGGUUUGCGGGCCGCUCGGGCUGUCCCGUUGCAAAGUGCCUGCGCUCCUUCCGCGUUGCCCUACUUUCUGUGCACGGUGUCUCGGCUCCAGCCCUGCCCCUUUUCGUUCUACCUGCAGACUCCCCCCCCCCCCCCCCCCCCACCACCACCAGAUGGGACCGACGGAAAGCGGUAUUCAGAUUGCAAAAAAGAGGGAGCUGCGGCUGACUCGGUGAUUCGGCAGGCGGUGGGCAAGCUCUCAAUCAUUCCUACACUUCAAGGGUGCGAAACGUUGAGUGUAACUCGGGACUUCGCCUCCUCCGAGAAACUUUUGAUUGGAUUUCCUUUGAAGGGAGAACUUAUAUGCAUAAAGGAUCAUCUGCCUGAAUAUAUAAAUUACUCUAAAGAAAAGCCGAAGGAAAAUACUCUUACCAUGUAGCCAGACACAUUCAUAAAUAUCUUGCCCAAAAGGAAUUAUUUUUUCCUGCUCCUAGGCUCUGAGCCCAUUACCAUAGCAACCAUAACUAGUGUUGUCUAACUGGAUGUGAAUUUUAUACAUUUGUUCUUUGAAAUGUGAAGGCAGUAUGUCAGAAUAAAGUGAAAUUUCUAUAAUA